GACGAACGCUGGCGGCGUGCUUAACACAUGCAAGUCGAACGGAAAGGCCCCUUUGGGGGUACUCGAGUGGCGAACGGGUGAGUAACACGUGAGUAACCUGCCCUUGACUUCGGGAUAACUUCAGGAAACUGGGGCUAAUACCGGAUAGGAAUCCUUGCUGCAUGGUGGGGGUUGGAAAGCUUCGGCGGUUUUGGAUGGACUCGCGGCUUAUCAGCUUGUUGGUGGGGUAGUGGCUUACCAAGGCUUUGACGGGUAGCCGGCCUGAGAGGGCGACCGGCCACAUUGGGACUGAGAUACGGCCCAGACUCCUACGGGAGGCAGCAGUGGGGAAUAUUGCACAAUGGGCGGAAGCCGGAUGCAGCAACGCCGCGUGCGGGAUGACGGACUUCGGGUUGUAAACCGCUUUCAGCAGGGGCGAAGCUUGUGGUGACGGUACCUGCAGAAGAAGCACCGGCUAACUACGUG
rnacentral:rRNA from 1 species